CAGUAGCCGCGGUAAUACAGAGGGUGCGAGCGUUAAUCGGAUUUACUGGGCGUAAAGCGUGCGUAGGCGGCUUCUUAAGUCGGAUGUGAAAUCCCUGAGCUUAACUUAGGAAUUGCAUUCGAUACUUGGAAGCUAGAGUAUGGGAGAGGAUGGUAGAAUUCCAGGUGUAGCGGUGAAAUGCGUAGAGAUCUGGAGGAAUACCGAUGGCGAAGGCAGCCAUCUGGCCUAAUACUGACGCUGAGGUACGAAAGCAUGGGGAGCAAACAGGAUUAGAUACCCGUGUAGUCCAUGUCUCUUAUAU
rnacentral:rRNA from 1 species